CGGGCGCGCGCGCUUACUGCAUGCAUUUACACGGCAAACAAAGCUGCCAUUGCGAUUAUUACAAGAAACACAGUAUUUUACCACUUUUACCACGUCUGAAGUUAGUUUUGGACGUCAAAUUCAUCAACGCCAACUGUACUGCUGGAUAACUGAAACUAAAGCCAAGAUUGAAUAAACACAGUUACAUUGGUUCUUCGGAGGCCAGCUCAGUUGAUUGUUGUACUUAUACAAUCCCAAGAGGAAUUUGCCAUCUGUAAUAGUUCCUUUUCGUCAACAAGCCACCUGACUUAACAAAGCUUUAAUGAAACUUCCAUUUAAAAGUUGUAAACAACGGGUCUCCUGGAGGAUACAAGCACUUGGGCUGGUACCAACCUACACCAUGGACGAGAAGAGGUUUCAUAUUCAACAAGAUGGAUUUUCCAUUUCUUUCAUUAAAAGAAAGAGUACCAAAUUCCAAUGACUUGGGCAGUCCUUUGAUCGAUGAGGUAAUACAGCUUCAUAGAUACAAUAAAUAAUUUUUUAUGCAGUUCAUGCAGGUAUAUCAAAGUUCAACUCUUAUUUUUGGUACAUGUAUUUCCAAAUUCUUUAAAAGAAAGAAAGAACAAUCGAAUUGAAUGAAAAAUUAACUUUUUUUUAUAUAUAUAUUGUAUCGUAUCCGAACAUCUACCCCCUGGACAUCCACACCCCGGACAUCCACCACCCGGACAUCCACCCCCCGGACAUCCACCCCCUUAGGACAUCUACCCCCUAGGACAUCUACCCCCGGACAUUUACCCCCCCGGACAUCUACCCCCCGGACAUUUACCCCCCGGACAUCUACCCCCCGGACAUCUACCCCCUGGACAAUUACCCCCUGGACAUUUACCCCCCCCCCAGACAUCUACCCCCGAGCAUCUACUCACGGAUAUUUUGGAUACGGGGGGUUCCAAAAUUACGCAUCAUUUCAUAAGUGCAUGCAGACCCAAAAUUGCACAAAAACGUAAAUUUGUGUACAAAUCCAAUGCAAAUAGAGUUUUUAGCCAAAAUUCAUAAAUGUAUAAUUUUUCCAUUUACUGAUUGAAAUCAAUUAAUUCCAUCUUAUUUAUGGUCCAAAUAAAGUCCCCGACAAUUUCCAUUGAAAAAACAAUAAAAAACAUAAAGUCCAAAAACAAAGAAAUACAUAAGAAAUUUUGAAAACAGUUAAAUACAUGAAAAAAUUAAUGUGAUUUUGAAAUUUUUUGUUAGUACAUUUGAACAGAUUAAUAUAAAGUGUCUGUGUACCAAAAAUUAGCAUUUUAGGGGCAUUAUUUAGUUAAUUAAAGCAAAAUUCUGAUUUCAUGCAUAAAUUAGCAUAAUUAAUUAGCAAUGAGAUUUUUCACAGAGUUUGAUCCUGUAGUUUUGUAUAUUAUGCCAUUGGUAACGCAGGUGCCAAGUUUCGUCGCGAUCAACGGCCGAGAUCAUAAGGAGGGGGGCUGAAUCAGGCCCCCCCCCCCCACAGUCUUCUUAGGCAUCGAAAUAGCCUAGUCUAUUUAGGUUUAAUUCAUGUGUAAUAUCUGUUUUAUAAAUCUUCCAAAUGAUACCAAGUAUCGUUCAAGUGGGUUUAAAGGGGAAGUUCACGCUGACAAAAAGUUUAUUGUUAAAACAGAAGAAAAAAAUAAUAAAAAUAUUGCUUAAGUUUUGAGGAAAAUCCAUCAAAGAAUUAAAAAGUUAUUUGAAUUUCAAUUAUUUGAGUUGUAACGUCAUAUUCGGGCAGCAUUUCUACAUAAUGAAUUUUUUUUUCUAUACCUUUUCUAUAUCAAAGGACCAAUCAUUUUACACCCAAACAUGAAAAGAAAACACAAAAUAACAAAAAUAUGUCCUCUGGAACCAUUAAAAAAUGAAAUUCAUGCAUUUUAUAUUACAUAACUUUAUUUGGCAGCUGCUCGUGUGUGUGACGCCACAAAUCCAAAGGCUAAGCUUAGAAUUCUAAUAAAUUAUUUAAUAUUUAACAGAUUUUCCUCAAACCUUCACCAAUUUUUUUGUCUCACCUGCAUAGCAGACUUGUUUUGUCCAAGUGAACUUUCAUGUUAAGAUUGAAUGAGUUGCAAUUAUCUUAACUUUAAUAUAUUUUAAAAAAUUAUUUGCUUCUAAAUUGAAGACAAAGUGAAGAUUGAAAUGGUUUGAUUUGUUUCAGUAGCAAAAGAGGUGCAGACUGCAGAGCUUCAAAAUAUUUGAUAUCGCUAUAAUAUUGUCAGUACUCUAUAUCAUUCUUAUCUUUCCAACUAUUUUGAGGCCGCCUGAAUCGCAAACCCUGUAUGGCCAGUUUUUGUUUAUGACAAACAAUGAUGAGGGAUGGCUGAAAAUCCCUCCAGGUAAGUUGGGGUUUAUGUAAUUGACAUGGUAACCAAAUAUGAAUUUAGUAAUUUAUAACAGGAUGUAUAUUCCUGAAACAAAGUGCAAUUGUUUGAUAAAUGUUAAUUGAAUUGGCCACUAUUGUAAUUUUAAGAUUGUCCUUAUUGUUAGCUUUACAUAGACACCAAAAACAGAGGAUAUUGUUCCCAACUGGAAUUAUGAUAUUACUAUGCUAUUGUCAUAUUUAUCAUCACAAUAAUGUAUCUGGUAAUGUAAUGCUAUCUUAAAGGGAUGGUCCGGGCUGAAAGUAUGUGUAGCUUAAUAAAUAGAGUAGAAUUCACUGAGCAAAAUGCAGAAAAUUUCAUCAAAAUCGGAUAACAAAUAACAAAGUUAUUGAAUUUUGAAGUUUAGCAAUAUUUUGUGAAAACAGUCGUCAUGAAUAUUCAUUAGGUGGGCUGAUGAUGUCACAUCUCCACUUGUUCUUUUGUAUUUUAUUAUAUGAAAUUAGGUUUAUUCAAUUUUUUUUCCUCCAAGAACUAGAAAAAUUGGAUUGUCAACUGAAUAGUGCAUUAAAUAUUUAUUGCUGCAACUUAUUUCAUUAUAAGGGAGACAUUCAGACAAGUAUGAAAUAAUGAAAAAAAUAUGAUUUUAUGUAAUAACAUAAGACAACAGAAAGUGGAGAUGUGACAUCAUCAGCCCACCUAAUGAAUAUUCAUGACAACUGUUUUCACAAAAUAUUGCUAAACUUUAAACUUCAAUAACUUUAUUAUUUGUUAUCCGAUUUUGAUGAAAUUUUCGGCAUUUUGCUCAGUGAAUUAUACUCUAUGUAUUAAGAUAUAAAUAUUUUCAGCCCGGACCAUCCCUUUAAGUUUUGAACCGGGAUUUGAUUUUUGUGGGAUAUAAUAUACAUGUAUUUUAUAUACACCUCAGUUCAAUAUGUUUUACAAUGUAACUGUACAUCUGAUUAAGUUUAUCUUAUUGUUACUUAAUAAAACCACUUUACUCCAAAGAA